AUUGAACGCUGGCGGCAGGCCUAACACAUGCAAGUCGAGCGAGCGGCGGACGGGUGAGUAAUGUAUGGGGACUGCCCGAUAGAGGGGGAUAACUAAUGGAAACGGUGGCUAAUACCGCAUACUAUCGGAUAACCCAUAUGGGAUUAGCUAGUAGGUGGGGUAAAGGCUCACCUAGGCGACGAUCUCUAGCUGGUCUGAGAGGAUGAUCAGCAACACUGGUACUGAGAGACGGCCCAGAUUCCUACGGAGGCAGCAUUGGGGAAGAUUGCACAAUGUGCGAAAGCCUUAUGCAGCCAGUCCGCGUGUAUGAAGAAGGCCUUAGGGUUUUAAAGUACUUUCAGCGUGGAGGCGUUACCCGCAGAAGAAGCACCGGCUAACUCCGUGCCAGCAGCCGCGGUAAUAC
rnacentral:rRNA from 1 species